UUACGAAUACAUUUAGGAUCUUAGUUUUCUAGAAUGCCAUUUGUUCCUAAGUGUUUUCUUAGGACGCAUCUUAAGAAGAGAGUUAAGGAAAAACAUAAGAUCUUUAUUCAUGAAUAUCAAAUCUUCUUAAAUUUGCUCUUAAGACAAAAGAUAAGAAGAAAGCACCACUUAGGAAGUAUUUUUGUCUUAAGAAGGCUUCGUGAAUCCGGCCCCUGAUCUGGGCCGGUUAGACUUUUCAGCUUUAACUGCAGUGCUGUUUUUCUUACGAUCAGCAGAUCUGGCCCAGAUCCACUUACCACAUCGGAACCAAAGCUUCCUCAAAGACAGUUCACUGAUGUAGCCCACAUCUGUAAUACGGACCUAGACCACCUUCAAACUAUUCAACGAGGCCAAUCACAGCCAAAUAGCUUACAAACAAAACUUAUAACUGAUCCUCGCUUAUUUCCAGAUAAUCUGGUAAAAAAUCACCCUAGAUAUGAUUUCAAAAUCAUAUCCAGCUAACAUUUUUGGGGGGUGCAAGUAAAGUUUUUAUUGUUGUUGUUGUUAUUGUUGUUGUUGUUGGUUUGUUUGGGCAGCAAUUUUCCAUGAAAAGGCCACCUGCUUGCUGAUCGCACGCCUACCUGGACUAUUGACAACUAGACAACUGCUUUACAAAUAUAAUACAUUCUUAAAAAUAUAUACAGCAUAUAAGGUCCAUAUAAGGCCACAUCCGCCUGACAGUCUACCUCCGUUUUGGCUACGGGCACCGGACCCGAUCCGCCUCGCCAGCGCGCCUUCAUUCACCGGGUCCGCAACGGACCCUGUACGGAUGCAUACACCGAACGCGCCCUAACGGUUUAUUUAAUCAGUUUUCUCGCUGAUGGACUGCUGCCGAGUGUGAGACAAAACGGUGGCGUCUGAAGGCUCACUGUCAUUCACAAGUGGCUCCAGUCUGGUUUGGGGGUCUACCCUUGCUCAUCCUGUCCUGCCACCCAAGUAAAAAGAGAAAUAACUACAGGCCUCUGUAACUGCUGUUUCCAGGUCAUUGUCACAAGUCACAAGUGGCUCCAGUCUGGUUUGGGGGUCUACCCUAGCUCAUCCUGUCCUGCCACCCACACAAAAAGAGAAAUAACUACAGGCCUCUGCAACUGCGGUCUCUAGGAGCGGUACGCAAGUGUCCAGUGACAGCCCAGGCAACGGAUACCGACAUUCACCAAUGUGCUGGCGCAUGACCGAGAAGGGGGGACGUCGCAAACGCCAGUGUGAAGGAGCAAGCUAGAUUCAUUGAUGAUCAUCAUGUUUUGAAUAAAGUUUUUUUGAAAAAAAAAGUAAACAUUUUCUUCGAUUCUGAUUAGGGUUAUUGGGGUAUUGGACUAUGUUAGUC